UCGGUUCAGAGUCUCGCCUGCCCAGUGACAAACUUCAACGGCCGCGGUACCCUAACCGUGCAAAGGUAGCAUAAUCACUUGUUCUUUAAAUAAGGACUUGUAUAAAUGGCAUCACGAGGGUUGCACUGUCUCCCUCCUCCAAUCAGUGAAAUUGAUCCUCCUAUGAAAAAGUAGGAAUAAAACUAUAAGACGAGAAGACCCCAUGGAGCUUUAAACCAACAGCAAUUUAGUAAAACCCCUUUAAAACUAUAAAAUUAUGUUAACGGCUUUAGGUUGGGGUGACCGCGGAGUAAAAUUUAACCUCCAUACCGAAAAGAUUAAUCUUAACCCAAGAGCCACCACUCUAAGAAUUAGUAAACUAACGUAUUAUGACCCGAUAUCGAUCAACGAACCAAGUUACCCUGGGGAUAACAGCGCAAUCUACUUCAAGAGUCCUUAUCGACAAGUAGGCUUACGACCUCGAUGUUGGAUCAGGGUGUCCUAGUGGUGCAGCCGCUACUAAAGGUUCGUUUGUUCAACGAUUAAAACCCUACGUGAUCUGAGUCCAAA
rnacentral:rRNA from 1 species